rnacentral:RNase_P_RNA from 1 species
CGGUAAGGGUGAAACGGUGGUGUAAGAGACCACCAGUGCCCAGGGUGACCUGGGCAGCUAGGUAAACCCCACCCGGAGCAAGGUCAAGAGGGAGUACCCCGGUGCUCCUGCGCGGACGUUUGAGGGCUGCUCGCCCGAGUCCGCGGGUAGACCGCACGAGGCUGGCGGCAACGUCAGUCCUAGAUGGAUGGCCGUCUCCCCGGCCGCCGCGAGGCAACCGGGUGACAGAAUCCGGCGUACAGCUCGACUCGUCUG